rnacentral:lncRNA from 1 species
AUGGGUCUCAUCCUCCCCAGGAGACUUCAGCCAGUUUCUGUGCUCAUAUCCUCCCACCCACUACCAGGAAAUCACCCCUUCUCGCCUGUGGGCAGGAGACCUUGUCAAGGAAGCUCUUUCUGCAGGAAGAGGCUGAGAGGGUCCGUGGUCUCCACUGCUCAUUCUGUCUUUUUUUUUUUUUUUUUUUUCUUUUUUUUUGGUUUUUUUCUCCGGUACCGGGAACCGAACUCACGACCUCGCACUUGCCAGGCAGGCGCUAUUGCCGCUGAGCUAAAUUCCCAGCCCCGCUCAUUCUGUCUUUCUUAGGUGGAGAAGAGCUCAGCUUCAGAAAGACUCCCAAGCAGGACUGCUCAGGUGGGUUAUGUCUUCUGACCUUCCCUUUGAGCUCAGCCUGCUCCCAUGUGACUUUCCAGGGCCACAUGGCCUGGGGGCAGCACCUCUACCCAGGACACCUCCCUGUCCAUUCCCUUCUCAGUUCUGCCCUUUGUCCCCUUUCCACUUUCUCUAUGGGAUAUUUUAAUACCCAGGCCACACUUUGAGAAACAAGGGUGAUGGAGUCUCUUUCUCUUUUUUUGGGAGGGGCCCAGAUCUUGGUUUUUAAAAUUUUAAUCUUAAAGAUAUUUUAGUGUAAUACAUGUAGAUAUUAAUAAAGAAAAUAUAAAAAAGCACUCUUCUUACUUCUAUGGGAAAAUGAAACAAAAUUUAAUAACAUAACAAUUACCGAGUAAAAUAGCUAGUACACUGCACACCAUAAUCUUAGAAGAAUGACCUCUCUCUUUUGAAAGGACGGCAUCAUCGCAGUGCACACUUCUGCUGUAUCUUGACCUUGGGGCUGUGAACACCAGAGGGAACACCUGGGGUCCCCAAAUACAGGGGCGUGUUUUCUUUGUGACACGGAAACCCGGUUUGUCACUCAGUCCUCUCUGUGCUCUCAAAUCAUCUGGAAAGGUGGGAUCACUCUCAGCAAAAAUGUGACAGAGGUGGCUCCAGAGGCUAGAAAGGGUCCAGCUGAGUAAUCACUGUUGAGGAGAACCUGUCCUCUAUAGCUACUGUCAUCAGCCUCGCCUCAGAUCCAGGGACGGUUACCCAUAAGCAGUUGUCCUAGAGGGAGCUCAAUGUCCUGAGUGUGCAGUGGGAGACGAUGUGUGGUGGAAGAGAGGACUUUGGUGGUGGGAGAUCAUGGCUGUUGCUCCAUCAUUUUUGGUAGAAAGUUUCAGGAAGAACUUUUCUGUCCACGUGUGUUUGCUAAGCUGCUAGUCAGUACUGCUCGUGUUCUUCAUAAGAUGCCUCUGUCCCCUGACCAGCUGACUCGCAGUGGUCACCCCACCCCCUUUCACAUGGGGGUUACCAUAGGGUUACCUAGGGAUGUCUGACAGAGCAGAGCCCACAAGGUCCCAUGGAGAGAGUGGGACAGAGGAAGCAUGUGGUGGGGACAUAGCAGCUUUUUUGGGGGCAAUGGAUGGAAGUUAGGCUCCAUUUCUAGGCACAGAACUAAGUUUAUGCCUCUGGUGAUUCAUUUCCUGAGUAUUGAUUCUGUGUCUAAUGUUAUAUCCUUGAGGACAUGAGCAAACCUGUGUCUAGGCUUUACAGCAGGGAUGCUGACCAGGCUCCAGAUUGUAUGAAUUGACCCCAAACCCUGGGCAUAGGUGGGCUUUGAACUCUGGUCUACAGGGUGGCUUGUCCCAGUUCCUAUUGACUACAGGUCCCCAGACUGACCAACACUGUCCUGUGUAGGGGGAACAGGGAGAAGAUACGAUAAAUGAGGCAAGUAGAAUCUCAAAUAGCCGUGAUCAGGCAAAAGCCACUCCAUGGCACAUAAUAAUUAGAAAUUACAGUACUCUGAAAAAGGAGAUCAAAGAAGAUAUCAAAAAA